rnacentral:rRNA from 1 species
GUGGAUUAGAUACCCUAGUAGUCCUGGCAGUAAACGGUGUGCGCUUGGUGUGAGGGGAUUCGACCCCCCUUGUGCCGGAGCUAACGCGUUAAGCGCACCGCCUGGGAAGUACGGCCGCAAGGCUAAAACUCAAAGAAAUUGACGGGGACCCGCACAAGCGGUGGAGUAUGUGGCUUAAUUCGAUGCAACGCGAAGAACCUUACCAAGGCUUGACAUGCAUCUCUAAGCGCGUGAAAGCGCGUGACCCUUCGGGGAAUUUGCACAGGUGCUGCACGGCCGUCGUCAACU